rnacentral:piRNA from 1 species
UGGGACAUAUUCAUGAGGCACUCUAGGGAC